rnacentral:misc_RNA from 1 species
GAUGAAGAACGUAGCGAAAUGCGAUAAGUAAUGUGAAUUGCAGAAUUCAGUGAAUCAUCGAAUCUUUGAACGCACAUUGCGCCCGCCAGUAUUCUGGCGGGCAUGCCUGUUCGAGCGUCAUUUCAACCCUCAAGCCCCCGGGCUUGGUGUUGGGGAUCGGCGUGCCCUCGCGGCGCGCCGUCCCCUAAAUCUAGUGGCGGUCUCGCUGUAGCUUCCUCUGCGUAGUAGCAACACUCGCACUGGAUCGCAGCGCGGCCACGCCGUUAAACCCCCCACUUCUGAAAGUUUGACCUCGGAUCAGGUAGGAAUACCCGCUGAACUUAAGCAUAUCAAUAAACGGAGGA